UACGUAGGGUGCGAGCGUUGUCCGGAAUCAUUGGGCGUAAAGCGCGUGUAGGCGGCUCGAUAAGUCUGCUGUGAAAGUCCAGGGCUCAACCCUGGGAUGCCGGUGGAUACUGUCGAGCUCGAGUCCGGAAGAGGCGAGUGGAAUUCCUGGUGUAGCGGUGAAAUGCGCAGAUAUCAGGAGGAACACCAAUGGCGAAGGCAGCUCGCUGGGACGUGACUGACGCUGAGACGCGAAAGCGUGGGGAGCAAACAGG
rnacentral:rRNA from 1 species